UACGUAGGGUGCAAGCGUUAAUCGGAAUUACUGGGCGUAAAGCGUGCGCAGGCGGUUUUGUAAGUCAGAUGUGAAAUCCCCGAGCUCAACUUGGGGACUGCGUUGAAACUACAAGACUAGAGUAUGUCAGAGGGGGGUAGAAUUCCACGUGUAGCAGUGAAAUGCGUAGAGAUGUGAAGGAAUACCAAUGGCGAAGGCAGCCCCCUGGGAUAAUAUUGACGCUCAUGCACGAAAGCGUGGGGAGCAAACAGG
rnacentral:rRNA from 1 species